UCCCUAGUGGCUCAGUUGGUAAAGAAUCUGCCUGCAAUGCAGGAGAUCCAGGUUCGAUCCCUGGGUCAGGAA
rnacentral:tRNA from 1 species